UACGGAGGGGGCUAGCGUUGUUCGGAAUUACUGGGCGUAAAGCGCACGUAGGCGGACCGGAAAGUUGGGGGUGAAAUCCCGGGGCUCAACCUCGGAACUGCCUUCAAAACUACUGGUCUUGAGUUCGAGAGAGGUGAGUGGAAUUCCGAGUGUAGAGGUGAAAUUCGUAGAUAUUCGGAGGAACACCAGUGGCGAAGGCGGCUCACUGGGCCUGUACUGACGCUCAUGCACGAAAGCGUGGGGAGCAAACAGG
rnacentral:rRNA from 1 species